rnacentral:rRNA from 1 species
GAACGCUGGCGGCGUGCUUAACACAUGCAAGUCGAACGGAAAGGCCCUGCUUUUGUGGGGUGCUCGAGUGGCGAACGGGUGAGUAACACGUGAGUAACCUGCCCUUGACUUUGGGAUAACUUCAGGAAACUGGGGCUAAUACCGGAUAGGAGCUCCUGCUGCAUGGUGGGGGUUGGAAAGUUUCGGCGGUUGGGGAUGGACUCGCGGCUUAUCAGCUUGUUGGUGGGGUAGUGGCUUACCAAGGCUUUGACGGGUAGCCGGCCUGAGAGGGUGACCGGCCACAUUGGGACUGAGAUACGGCCCAGACUCCUACGGGAGGCAGCAGUGGGGAAUAUUGCACAAUGGGCGGAAGCCUGAUGCAGCAACGCCGCGUGCGGGAUGACGGCCUUCGGGUUGUAAACCGCUUUCGCCUGUGACGAAGCGUGAGUGACGGUAAUGGGUAAAGAAGCACCGGCUAACUACGUGCCAGCAGCCGCGGUGAUACGUAGGGUGCGAGCGUUGUCCGGAUUUAUUGGGCGUAAAGGGCUCGUAGGUGGUUGAUCGCGUCGGAAGUGUAAUCUUGGGGCUUAACCCUGAGCGUGCUUUCGAUACGGGUUGACUUGAGGAAGGUAGGGGAGAAUGGAAUUCCUGGUGGAGCGGUGGAAUGCGCAGAUAUCAGGAGGAACACCAGUGGCGAAGGCGGUUCUCUGGGCCUUUCCUGACGCUGAGGAGCGAAAGCGUGGGGAGCGAACAGGCUUAGAUACCCUGGUAGUCCACGCUGUAAACGGUGGGUACUAGGUGUGGGGUCCAUUCCACGGGUUCCGUGCCGUAGCUAACGCUUUAAGUACCCCGCCUGGGGAGUACGGCCGCAAGGCUAAAACUCAAAGGAAUUGACGGGGCCCCGCACAAGCGGCGGAGCAUGCGGAUUAAUUCGAUGCAACGCGUAGAACCUUACCUGGGUUUGACAUGGAUCGGGAGUGCUCAGAGAUGGGUGUGCCUCUUUUGGGGUCGGUUCACAGGUGGUGCAUGGCUGUCGUCAGCUCGUGUCGUGAGAUGUUGGGUUAAGUCCCGCAACGAGCGCAACCCUUGUUCACUGUUGCCAGCACGUUAUGGUGGGGACUCAGUGGAGACCGCCGGGGUCAACUCGGAGGAAGGUGGGGAUGACGUCAAGUCAUCAUGCCCCUUAUGUCCAGGGCUUCACGCAUGCUACAAUGGCUGGUACAGAGAGUGGCGAGCCUGUGAGGGUGAGCGAAUCUCGGAAAGCCGGUCUCAGUUCGGAUUGGGGUCUGCAACUCGACCUCAUGAAGUCGGAGUCGCUAGUAAUCGCAGAUCAGCAACGCUGCGGUGAAUACGUUCCCGGGGCUUGUACACACCGCCCGUCAAGUCAUGAAAGUUGGUAACACCCGAAGCCGGAGGCCUAACCGUUGUGGGGGAGCCGUCGAAGGUGGGACUGC